rnacentral:siRNA from 1 species
AGAUGCUGAUAAUUGUAUAGUUAC